rnacentral:rRNA from 1 species
GUGAGGAAUAUUGGUCAAUGGGCGGGAGCCUGAACCAGCCAAGUCGCGUGAAGGAAGAAGGAUCUAUGGUUCGUAAACUUCUUUUGCAGGGGAAUAAAGUGCAGGACGUGUCCUGUUUUGUAUGUACCCUGAGAAUAAGGAUCGGCUAACUCCGUGCCAGCAGCCGCGGUAAUACGGAGGAUCCGAGCGUUAUCCGGAUUUAUUGGGUUUAAAGGGUGCGUAGGUGGUUUGAUAAGUCAGCGGUGAAAGUUUGCAGCUUAACUGUAAAAAUGCCGUUGAAACUGUCGGACUUGAGUGUAAAUGAGGUAGGCGGAAUGCGAGGUGUAGCGGUGAAAUGCAUAGAUAUCACGCAGAACUCCGAUUGCGAAGGCAGCUUACUAAGCUACAACUGACACUGAAGCACGAAAGCGUGGGGAUCAAACAGGAUUAGAAACCCUAGUAGUCC